UACAGAGGGUGCAAGCGUUAAUCGGAAUUACUGGGCGUAAAGCGUGCGUAGACGGUUAUUUAAGUCAGGUGUGAAAGCCCCGGGCUCAACCGUGGAAUUGCAUUUGAGACUGAAUAGCUAGGGUGCGGAAGAGGGAAGCGGAAUUUCCGGUGUAGCGGUGAAAUGCGUAGAUAUCGGAAGGAACACCAGUGGCGAAAGCGGCUUCCUGGUCCAGCACCGACGUCAGGCACGAAAGCGUGGGGAGCAAACAGG
rnacentral:rRNA from 1 species